rnacentral:rRNA from 1 species
GUGGGGAAUCUUGCGCAAUGGGCGAAAGCCUGACGCAGCCAUGCCGCGUGAAUGAUGAAGGUCUUAGGAUUGUAAAAUUCUUUCACCGGGGACGAUAAUGACGGUACCCGGAGAAGAAGCUCCGGCUAACUUCGUGCCAGCAGCCGCGGUAAUACGAAGGGGGCUAGCGUUGCUCGGAAUUACUGGGCGUAAAGGGCGCGUAGGCGGACAGCUUAGUCAGAGGUGAAAGCCCCGGGCUCAACCUUGGAAUUGCCUUUGAUACUGGCUGUCUUGAGUUUGGGAGAGGUGAGUGGAACUCCGAGUGUAGAGGUGAAAUUCGUAGAUAUUCGGAAGAACACCAGUGGCGAAGGCGACUCACUGGCCCAAUACUGACGCUGAGGCGCGAAAGCGUGGGGAGCAAACAGGAUUAGAAACCCUAGUAGUCC